GGGAAGUUGGCUCAGUGGUAGAGUGCUUGCCUCGCAUGCAUGAGGCCCUGGGUUCAACUCCUUAGCAUCAUA
rfam:Dipodomys ordii contig_12693, whole genome shotgun sequence.